CUCAGAUGCAGCAUGGAUUGCGGUUUGGCGAUUAUGCUCGUUACCGGAGGUACUGUACUGCUCGGCUCAGGAGAUUGUACAAGUCGUUGAAAUUCACGCAUGGCCGUGGUAAAUAUAGUAAAAGGGCGAUUACAGCUUCUAUGGUCACUGAAGUGAGGUAUCUUCAUGUGGUUCUUUAUACAGCAGAAAGAGCUUGGAGCCAUACUAUGGAAAAGAAAACGCUGCCAGAUGGUCCAAAUGCACGUCAGCGUGGCUAUCUGAUUGGUAGGCUGCGAAAAGCAGUCAAAUGGGCUACUUUGUUUCAAGAC